CUAACACAUGCAAGUCGAACGAAGCACUGUGGAUAGAGACUUCGGUCAAUUGAAGCUUUGACUUAGUGGCGGACGGGUGAGUAACGCGUGAGGAACCUGCCUUUCAGAGGGGGACAACAGUUGGAAACGACUGCUAAUACCGCAUGACACAGCGAGAUCGCAUGGUCUUGCUGUCAAAGAUUUAUCGCUGAAAGAUGGCCUCGCGUCUGAUUAGAUAGUUGGUGAGGUAACGGCCCACCAAGUCGACGAUCAGUAGCCGGACUGAGAGGUUGAACGGCCACAUUGGGACUGAGAUACGGCCCAGACUCCUACGGGAGGCAGCAGUGGGGAAUAUUGGGCAAUGGGGGAAACCCUGACCCAGCAACGCCGCGUGAAGGAAGAAGGCUUUCGGGUUGUAAACUUCUUUUACCAGGGACGAAGAACGUGACGGUACCUGGAGAAAAAGCCACGGCUAACUACGUGCCAGCAGCCGCGGUAAUACGUAGGUGGCAAGCGUUGUCCGGAUUUACUGGGUGUAAAGGGCGUGUAGGCGGGAGAGCAAGUCAGAAGUGAAAUCUAUGGGCUUAACCCAUAAACUGCUUUUGAAACUGUUCUUCUUGAGUAUCGGAGAGGCAGGCGGAAUUCCUAGUGUAGCGGUGAAAUGCGUAGAUAUUAGGAGGAACACCAGUGGCGAAGGCGGCCUGCUGGACGACAACUGACGCUGAGGCGCGAAAAGCGUGGGGAGCAAACAGGAUUAGAUACCCUGGUAGUCCACGCUGUAAACGAUGAAUACUAGGUGUGGGGGGACUGACCCCUUCCGUGCCGCAGUUAACACAAUAAGUAUUCCACCUGGGGAGUACGAUCGCAAGAUUGAAACUCAAAGGAAUUGACGGGGGCCCGCACAAGCAGUGGAUUAUGUGGUUUAAUUCGACGCAACGCGAAGAACCUUACCGGGAUUUGACAUCCUACUAACGAAGUAGAGAUACAUUAGGUGCCCUUCGGGGAAAGUAGAGACAGGUGGUGCAUGGUUGUCGUCAGCUCGUGUCGUGAGAUGUUGGGUUAAGUCCCGCAACGAGCGCAACCCUUAUGGUCAGUUACUACGCAAGAGGACUCUGGCCAGACUGCCGUUGACAAAACGGAGGAAGGUGGGGAUGACGUCAAAUCAUCAUGCCCUUUAUGACUUGGGCUACACACGUACUACAAUGGCGUUAAACAAAGAGAAGCAAGACCGCGAGGUGGAGCAAAACUCAGAAACAACGUCCCAGUUCGGACUGCAGGCUGCAACUCGCCUGCACGAAGUCGGAAUUGCUAGUAAUCGUGGAUCAGCAUGCCACGGUGAAUACGUUCCCGGGCCUUGUACACACCGCCCGUCACACCAUGAGAGCCGGGGGGACCCGAAGUCGGUAGUCUAACCGCAAGGAGGACGCCGCCGAAGGUAAAACUGGUGAUUGGGGUGAA
rnacentral:rRNA from 1 species